rnacentral:rRNA from 1 species
GUGAGGAAUAUUGCACAAUGGGCGAAAGCCUGAUGCAGCAACGCCGCGUGAGUGAUGAAGGCCUUUGGGUCGUAAAACUCUGUCCUUGGGGAAGAAAAAAAUGACGGUACCCUUGGAGGAAGCCCCGGCUAACUACGUGCCAGCAGCCGCGGUAAUACGUAGGGGGCAAGCGUUAUCCGGAAUUAUUGGGCGUAAAGAGUGCGUAGGUGGUUUUGUAAGCGUAGGGUGAAAGGCAGUAGCUCAACUAUUGUUAGCCCUGCGAACUGUGAGACUUGAGUGCAGGAGAGGAAAGUGGAAUUCCUAGUGUAGCGGUGAAAUGCGUAGAUAUUAGGAGGAACACCAGUGGCGAAGGCGGCUUUCUGGACUGUAACUGACACUGAGGCACGAAAGCGUGGGGAGCAAACAGGAUUAGAAACCCCGGUAGUCC